UACAUGUGGGGCAAGCGUUGUUCGGAUUCAUUGGGCGUAAAGGGUGCGUAGGCGGCGCGGUAAGUCGGGUGUGAAAUCUCGGGGCUUAACUCCGAAACUGCAUUCGAUACUGCCGUGCUUGAGGACUGGAGAGGAGACUGGAAUUUACGGUGUAGCGGUGAAAUGCGUAGAUAUCGUAAGGAAGACCAGUGGCGAAGGCGGGUCUCUGGACAGUUCCUGACGCUGAGGCACGAAGGUCAGGGGAGCAAACGGG
rnacentral:rRNA from 1 species